AUGAAAAUUCAGAAGCAGCGCCAGUGGGUCUCAGGCUAUAACCUGGUUGAGCCGGACCAACUCGCUCACCCCCCUCGUCUUCCACUUCGCCUCUUCCUCUCCUGCGACGCUCCUCGGUUCCUCUUCCACGGCGGCGACGGCAACGAGCUGAUGAUCGCGGUGGCCGCCGCCGACCACUCCGGCAGAAAAGAUCAAGGUAGGCCUGCUCCAUCUCCCCUCUCCAAUCUCAGGUGCUUUGUUCCUUUUGUUGAAUCCAUGGACCCGGCUGAGAUUUUGAACGUCAGAUUUCAUAUAGGGGGGCAAUUUGUUCGAAUUGGUCCUUCUCUGGACUAUGUUGGGGGAGAUGUGGCCUACUCUGAGAUUGAGAGGGACAAGUUGUCCUUGCAGGAGGUCAAAGGUUUUCUUGCAGAUCAUUUGCCAGUAAAGGAAAGCAUGAAGUUUUAUUUUCUUAUGCCUGGCAGAGACUUGAUUAAUGGGCUGUUGUUUUUAUAUGAUGAUGCUGGUUGCAUGAGUAUGUCAGAUAAUACAACUGAUGGUGGAGUUGCAGAAAUUUUUGUGGAGUACAAUGGGGAACAGGAUGAAGAAGGAGAGCAGGAAAGUGGCUCUGAUUUUGAGGAUGAAAUUCAGGAUCACAUUGACAGUGGGAGUGAAGAAGAUAUGCCUACUGUGAUGACAGCUGAAGAAAUGCAAGUGGAACAGCACAAUGACAAUGUAAAUGAAGAUUUACUACAGCAAGUCCUUGUCCCCAAUGACAAUGGUGUUAUUACUACAGUCAUAAGCAGCCCAUUGAAGAGAACAAGUUCUGAAAGGUGCAAUCUUUCUCAGAGUUCACCAGUGUGCAAUCCUUCCCAGCCUUCAACAAUGCUUGCAGCUGCAGUUCCAGCAAGAAAAAAAGCAAGAGUACAAGGUGCAGAGCUUGCAGCAACAACACAAGGAGGAGAGCUUGCAGCAACAGCACAAGAAGCAGCACAAAGAGCAGCAGAGCAAGGAGCAGCAGAGCAAGGAGCAGACCAAGCAAAAGAGGAGUCUGAUUCAGAUGAUUCGGAGGACAAUGACUAUGUUACACAUACUGAUGAUAGUGGAGAGGAAUCAGAGGUAGUUGAGCUAAGAAAGCAUGCAAGAAAGUUUAGAAAAAAGAUGAAAGACUCCAGAGAAUGGGUUACUUCAGAUGCAUCAGGGGCUGUUCCUAUUGACUUCAUUGCAAAUGUUGAAGAAGUAGUGGAGGAAAUGGAAUUUGAGUCAAGUGAUGAAGAUUAUUCCUAUGAUGAAGAUGAGGAGGGACAGAUUGUUAGAAGGAAGAGCAAAUACCCUAGAUUUGACCCUGAUAUUGAUAUUCCACACUUUAGUUUGGGGAUGGUUUUCAAAAGCAAAAAUCAAUUUGUCAAAGCAAUUAAGAGAUAUGGUCUUGCUACAAAAAGAAGCAUCAAUUUCGUAAAGUCUGAGGAGGUGAAGGUCAGAGCCAAAUGUGGAUGGCCUGGAUGCCCAUGGCUUGUGUAUGGAGCAAAGACAAGCAGGUGCUCAAGGUUCCAAAUCAUUACAUAUGAGGAUGAGCACCAUUGUGCACAGAAUAGGGAAAAUAGGCUUGUUUCUGCAAAGGUUAUAGCACAAAGAUAUGAACAUUUCAUCCUUGCCAAUCCAAUGUGGAAGAUUGAUAGCAUCAAAGCCACUGUCCUAAAAGAUAUGUUUCCUGAUGUUUCCACUUCAAAGUGCAAGGCAGCAAAAAAGAUUGUCAUGGAUAAGUUGAUGUGUGGUAUGAAGAAUGAGUAUACUAAAAUCUUUGACUAUCAGUUAGAGUUGCUGAGAAGUAACCCUGGGAGUACAGUUGCUGUUUGUUUGGAUCCAAAAGAAAUGGAAAUUAAUGUUUUCCAACAGUUCUAUGUUUGUUUCAAUACUCUCAAACAAGGGUUUAAAGCUAGCUGCAGGAAAGUAAUAGGGCUAGAUGGUUGCUUCUUCAAAGGAGCAUGCCAAGGUGAAUUACUUGCUGCAAUUGCUAGGGAUGCAAACAACCAAAUGUACCCUGUAGCUUGGGCUGUUGUGGAAAAAGAAACUACAGAGACAUGGAAGUGGUUUAUUGGGCUGCUAAUCAAGGAUUUGGAUAUCAAUGAUCAAGGAGCAGGCUGGGUUUUUAUUUCUGACCAGCAAAAGGGCUUAAUUAAUAGCAUGAGAGAUUAUUUGCCAAGGGCACAACACAGGAUGUGUGCAAGGCAUAUUUAUGCCAAUUGGAGAAAGAAGCACAGGGACCAUGAAUUACAAAAAAGAUUUUGGGCAAUUGCCAAGGCUUCAAACAAACAGGAUUUCAACUACAACAAGGCCAGACUUGCUCAGAAAACCCCUGAUGGUGCAAAAGACAUUAUGAGGACAGAGCCAGUGCAUUGGGCUAGGGCCUUUUUUCCAUAUGGAUCAAACUGUGGGUCAGUGGAUAACAACCUAUGUGAGUCUUUCAACAAUGCCAUCAUAGAAUCAAGGUUUUACCCCAUAAUAUCACAGCAAGAGAUGAUAAGGAAGAAGAUGUAUGUCAGAAUCCAGGAACAGAGAAGCAAAUGUGAUAAAUGGCAUGGAACAGUUUGCCCUAACAUUUUUAAGAAACUACAGGGCAAUAUCAAGAGAACUCAGUUCUGUGAGGUGCUUUGGAAUGGCAAGGAUGGAUUUGAGGUCAAGCAUUUGACUGGCAGAGGAAGGAGAUAUACAGUGAACCUUGAGAGGAAGACAUGCUCAUGUGGAUAUCUACAGCUGGCAGGCCUUCCUUGUUGUCAUGCAAUUUGUGCUAUAUACAAAAGUGGCAGAAAAGUAGAAGAAUUCAUUGACCCAUGCUACUACAUUGAGACUUUCAAGAAAAUAUAUGAGCAUUGUCUCCAGCCUGUGGAAGGUGAAGAAUGUUGGCCAGUCUCUCAGAACCCUAGGCCAGUGGCACCUGGCUAUAUUGCCAUGCCAGGAGCAAGGAAGAAAAACAAUGAUAGGAGGAGAGAAGAGGGGGAAGCACCCAAAGGAAAGAAACUUAGCAAGCAUGGAAUUCAAAUCACUUGUGGAUCAUGUGGGGGCAAGCAGAGACUGAGGCUGCCAAAAGCAGGGCAGCUGCAGCAAGAUCUUCUCAACCUACAACAAGGACUCAAACUCCUCAAUCCUAUCAACCUGCAGCAACUACAAGCUCACAGCCAGCCACCUCAAGCUUCAGACCUCCCAGAAGAUCAACACCAACUGGAAAUGAGGCACCUGGAGGAAGUACAUCUGCUGGCAGAGGAAGAGGAAGAGGAUUCAUGCCCUAUUUCACAGCUUCUGGGAACUACUGAAGUUAUGUACUACUGA
rnacentral:rRNA from 1 species